rnacentral:rRNA from 1 species
UACGUAGGGUGCGAGCGUUAAUCGGAAUUACUGGGCGUAAAGGGCGCGUAGGCGGCUUUACAAGUCAGGGGUGAAAUCCCACGGCUCAACCGUGGAAUUGCCUUUGAAACUGUAAAGCUAGAGUGUCGGAGGGGAUAGCGGAAUUGCUAAUGUAGAGGUGAAAUUCGUAGAUAUUAGCAGGAACACCGGUGGCGAAGGCGGCUAUCUGGACGACAACUGACGCUGAGGCGCGAAAGCAUGGGGAUCAAACAGG